rfam:HIV-1 isolate 99KE_KSM4023 from Kenya, partial genome.
AAGUCUCUCUUGUUAGACCAGAUCGAGCCUAGGAGCUCUCUGACCAGCGAAGGAACCCAC